rnacentral:rRNA from 1 species
GACGAACGCUGGCGGCGUGCUUAACACAUGCAAGUCGAACGGAAAGGCCCUGCUUUUGUGGGGUGCUCGAGAGGCGAACGGGUGAGUAACACGUGAGUAACCUGCCCUUGACUUUGGGAUAACUUCAGGAAACUGGGGCUAAUACCGGAUAGGAGCUCCUGCUGCAUGGUGGGGGUUGGAAAGUUUCGGCGGUUGGGGAUGGACUCGCGGCUUAUCAGCUUGUUGGUGGGGUAGUGGCUUACCAAGGCUUUGACGGGUAGCCGGCCUGAGAGGGUGACCGGCCACAUUGGGACUGAGAUACGGCCCAGACUCCUACGGGAGGCAGCAGUGGGGAAUAUUGCACAAUGGGCGGAAGCCUGAUGCAGCAACGCCGCGUGCGGGAUGACGGCCUUCGGGUUGUAAACCGCUUUCGCCUGUGACGAAGCGUGAGUGACGGUAAUGGGUAAAGAAGCACCGGCUAACUACGUGCCAGCAGCCGCGGUGAUACGUAGGGUGCGAGCGUUGUCCGGAUUUAUUGGGCGUAAAGGGCUCGUAGGUGGUUGAUCGCGUCGGAAGUGUAAUCUUGGGGCUUAACCCUGAGCGUGCUUUCGAUACGGGUUGACUUGAGGAAGGUAGGGGAGAAUGGAAUUCCUGGUGGAGCGGUGGAAUGCGCAGAUAUCAGGAGGAACACCAGUGGCGAAGGCGGUUCUCUGGGCCUUUCCUGACGCUGAGGAGCGAAAGCGUGGGGAGCGAACAGGCUUAGAUACCCUGGUAGUCCACGCUGUAAACGGUGGGUACUAGGUGUGGGGUCCAUUCCACGGGUUCCGUGCCGUAGCUAACGCUUUAAGUACCCCGCCUGGGGAGUACGGCCGCAAGGCUAAAACUCAAAGGAAUUGACGGGGCCCCGCACAAGCGGCGGAGCAUGCGGAUUAAUUCGAUGCAACGCGUAGAACCUUACCUGGGUUUGACAUGGAUCGGGAGUGCUCAGAGAUGGGUGUGCCUCUUUUGGGGUCGGUUCACAGGUGGUGCAUGGCUGUCGUCAGCUCGUGUCGUGAGAUGUUGGGUUAAGUCCCGCGACGAGCGCAACCCUUGUUCACUGUUGCCAGCACGUUAUGGUGGGGACUCAGUGGAGACCGCCGGGGUCAACUCGGAGGAAGGUGGGGAUGACGUCAAGUCAUCAUGCCCCUUAUGUCCAGGGCUUCACGCAUGCUACAAUGGCUGGUACAGAGAGUGGCGAGCCUGUGAGGGUGAGCGAAUCUCGGAAAGCCGGUCUCAGUUCGGAUUGGGGUCUGCAACUCGACCUCAUGAAGUCGGAGUCGCUAGUAAUCGCAGAUCAGCAACGCUGCGGUGAAUACGUUCCCGGG